rnacentral:rRNA from 1 species
UACGUAGGGACCGAGCGUUGUCCGGAAUCAUUGGGCGUAAAGAGCGUGUAGGCGGCCACUUAAGUCCUGCGUGAAAUCUUGCGGCUCAACCGCAAGCGGUCGUGGGAAACUGGGUGGCUAGAGUGCGGGAGAGGAGAGUGGAAUUCCCAGUGUAGAGGUGAAAUUCGUAGAUAUUGGGAAGAACACCGGUGGCGAAGGCGGCGCUCUGGACCGAGACUGACGCUGAGGCGCGAAAGCGUGGGGAGCAAACAGG